GACGAACGCUGGCGGCGUGCCUAAUACAUGCAAGUAGAACGCUGAAGGAGGAGCUUGCUCUUCUGGAUGAUUUGCGAACGGGUGAGUAACGCGUAUGUAACCUGCCUGUUAGCGGGGGAUAACUAUUGGAAACGCUAGCUCAUACCGCAUAAUAUUAGAUGUUGCAUGUUAUUUACUUAAAAGGUGCAAUUGCACCACUACUAGAUGGACCUUCGUUGUAUUAUCUAGUUGGUGGUGUAACGGCUCACCAAGGCGACGAUACAUAGCCGACCUGGGAGGGUGAACGGCCAAACUGGGACUGAGACAAGGGCCAGAAUCCUUAGGGAAGCAGCAGGAGGGAAUCUUCGGGAAUGGACGGAAGGCUGACCGAGCAACGCCGCGGGAGGGAAGAAGGUUUUCGGAUCGUAAAGAUCUGUUGUAAGAGAAGAAAGAGAGUGAGAGUGGAAAGUGCACACUGUGACGGUAUCUUACCAGAAAGGGACGGCUAACUACGUG
rnacentral:rRNA from 1 species